UACGGAGGGGGCUAGCGUUGUCCGAAGUUACUGGGCGUAAAGCGCGCGUAGGCGGGUUGGUAAGUCCGCUGUGAAAGCCCGGAGCUCAACUCCGGAGGGUCGGUGGAUACUGCCAGUCUUGAAGGUGCUAGGGGGAGAUGGAAUUCCUAGUGUAGAGGUGAAAUUCGUAGAUAUUAGGAAGAACACCGGUGGCGAAGGCGGCCAUCUGGCUCGGUACUGACGCUCAGGUUCGAAAGCGUGGGGAGCAAACAGG
rnacentral:rRNA from 1 species